UACGAAGGGGGCUAGCGUUGUUCGGAAUUACUGGGCGUAAAGGGCGCGUAGGCGGAUAGUUUGGUCAGAGGUGAAAGCCCAGGGCUCAACCUUGGAAUUGCCUUUGAUACUGGCUAUCUUGAGUUCGGGAGAGGUGAGUGGAAUGCCGAGUGUAGAGGUGAAAUUCGUAGAUAUUCGGCGGAACACCAGUGGCGAAGGCGACUCACUGGCCCGAUACUGACGCUGAGGCGCGAAAGCGUGGGGAGCAAACAGG
rnacentral:rRNA from 1 species